rnacentral:rRNA from 1 species
UCCGGUUGAUCCUGCCGGACCCGACUGCUAUCAGAGUGGGACUAAGCCAUGCGAGUCAACAUAGCAAUAUGUGGCAUACGGCUCAGUAACACGUAGUCAACAUGCCCAGGGGACGUGGAUAACCUCGGGAAACUGAGGAUAAACCGCGAUAAGUCACUGCUUCUGGAAUGGGCAAUGACUUAAAUCUAUAUGGCCCCUGGAUUGGACUGCGGCCGAUCAGGCUGUUGGUGAGGUAAUGGCCCACCAAACCUGUAACCGGUACGGGCUCUGAGAGGAGGAGCCCGGAGAUGGGCACUGAGACAAGGGCCCAGGCCCUAUGGGGCGCAGCAGGCGCGAAACCUCUGCAAUAGGCGAAAGCCUGACAGGGUUACUCUGAGUGAUUUCCGUUAAGGAGAUCUUUUGGCACCUCUAAAAAUGGUGCAGAAUAAGGGGUGGGCAAGUCUGGUGUCAGCCGCCGCGGUAAUACCAGCACCCCGAGUGGUCGGGACGUUUAUUGGGCCUAAAGCAUCCGUAGCCGGUUCUGCAAGUCUUCCGUUAAAUCCACCUGCUUAACAGAUGGGCUGCGGAAGAUACUAUAGAGCUAGGAGGCGGGAGAGGCAAGCGGUACUCGAUGGGUAGGGGUAAAAUCCGUUGAUCCAUUGAAGACCACCAGUGGCGAAGGCGGCUUGCCAGAACACGCUCGACGGUGAGGGAUGAAAGCUGGGGGAGCAAACCGGAUUAGAUACCCGGGUAGUCCCAGCUGUAAACGAUGCAGACUCGGUGAUGAAUUGGCUUUAUGCCAAUUCAGUGCCGCAGGGAAGCCGUUAAGUUUGCCGCCUGGGGAGUACGGUCGCAAGACUGAAACUUAAAGGAAUUGGCGGGGGAGCACCACAAGGGGUGAAGCCUGCGGUUCAAUUGGAGGCAACGCCGGAAAUCUUACCGGGGGCGACAGCAGAAUGAAGGUCAAGCUGAAGACUUUACCAGACAAGCUGAGAGGAGGUGCAUGGCCGUCGCCAGCUCGUGCCGUGAGGUGUCCUGUUAAGUCAGGUAACGAGCGAGACCCCUGCCUCUAGUUGCUACCAUUAUUCUCAGGAGUAGUGGAGCUAAUUAGAGGGACUGCCGUCGCUGAGACGGAGGAAGGAGGGGGCUACGGCAGGUCAGUAUGCCCCGAAACCCUCGGGCCACACGCGGGCUGCAAUGGUAAGGACAAUGAGUAUCGAUUCCGAAAGGAGGAGGCAAUCUCUAAACCUUACCACAGUUAUGAUUGAGGGCUGAAACUCGCCCUCAUGAAUAUGGAAUCCCUAGUAACCGCGUGUCACUAUCGCGCGGUGAAUACGUCCCUGCUCCUUGCACACACCGCCCGUCGCUUCAUCGAAGUUGGUUCUUGGCGAGGUGAUGCCUAAUUGGUACUAUCGAACCUGGGGUCAGCAACGAGGGAG